AUUGAACGCUGGCGGCAUGCCUUACACAUGCAAGUCGAACGGUAACAGGUCUUCGGAUGCUGACGAGUGGCGAACGGGUGAGUAAUAUAUCGGAACGUGCCCAGUUGUGGGGGAUAACUACUCGAAAGAGUGGCUAAUACCGCAUACGACCUGAGGGUGAAAGCGGGGGAGCGCAAGACCUCGCGCAAUUGGAGCGGCCGAUAUCAGAUUAGGUAGUUGGUGGGGUAAAGGCUCACCAAGCCAACGAUCUGUAGCUGGUCUGAGAGGACGACCAGCCACACUGGGACUGAGACACGGCCCAGACUCCUACGGGAGGCAGCAGUGGGGAAUUUUGGACAAUGGACGCAAGUCUGAUCCAGCCAUGCCGCGUGCGGGAAGAAGGCCUUCGGGUUGUAAACCGCUUUUGUCAGGGAAGAAAAGGGCGACUCUAAUACAGUUGCCUCAUGACGGUACCUGAAGAAUAAGCACCGGCUAACUACGUGCCAGCCGCCGCAGUAAGAC
rnacentral:rRNA from 1 species